rnacentral:rRNA from 1 species
AGGGUUUGAUCAUGGCUCAGAUUGAACGCUGGCGGAAUGCUUUACACAUGCAAGUCGAACGAUGAAGCCUAGCUUGCUAGGUGAAUUAGUGGCGGACGGGUGAGUAAUAUAUCGGAACGUGUCCAUUAAUGGGGGAUAACUAAUCGAAAGGUUAGCUAAUACCGCAUACGCCCUGAGGGGGAAAGCUGGGGAUCUUCGGACCUAGCGUUAAUGGAGCGGCCGAUACCUGAUUAGCUAGUUGGUGGGGUAAAAGCCUACCAAGGCAACGAUCAGUAGCUGGUCUGAGAGGACGACCAGCCACACUGGGACUGAGACACGGCCCAGACUCCUACGGGAGGCAGCAGUGGGGAAUUUUGGACAAUGGGGGCAACCCUGAUCCAGCCAUUCCGCGUGAGUGAAGAAGGCCUUCGGGUUGUAAAGCUCUUUCGCAAGGGAAGAAACGAUAUAGGUUAAUAGCUUAUGUUAAUGACGGUACCUUGACAAGAAGCACCGGCUAACUACGUGCCAGCAGCCGCGGUAAUACGUAGGGUGCAAGCGUUAAUCGGAAUUACUGGGCGUAAAGCGUGCGCAGGCUGUUUUGUAAGUCAGAUGUGAAAUCCCCGAGCUCAACUUGGGAACUGCGUUUGA